GCCAUGAAUAAGGGGAUUAUGAGGCGAUGCGUGAUGCAAAGACGGCAAAACGCCAAAUUUGCAUUGCGUGGAUAGAUUUGAAGAAUGCAUUUGGUUCAGUGCGCCACAAUCUGAUACAGUAUGCUCUAACCCACUACAGCUUUCCUUUGCAAUUCAGGAAAUUAAUUUUUUCCUACUACGACAGUCUUUGCGCUUUCGUCGUACAACCACACACUCCCACCUUUAAUUACAACAUUGGUGUUUUCCAGGGGUGCCCCUUGUCCCCGGUCCUUUUCAAUAUUUGUUUCCAGCUUCUGCUGGACUCACUUGCAGCCCCUGAAUUAAGUUGCCUCUCCUAUGAUUUUAAAUCUGCCCCUUUGCAAGUGUCCCAAACAGCUUUUGCUGAUGACUUAGGCCUCUAUAGCAAAUCUAGUGCAGGUUGUCAAAAACUCAUUGCGGUCACGGAGGACUUUCUCUCGUGGACCCAAUGUAUGCAGGCGGCGCCGCACAAAUGCAAAAGCAGUGCAGCAAAGCUUGUAGAUGGCCGGUACAAACCUUACGAUCCCUGCCUGACGAUGUCAGGGAGGAAGAUCGCUUUCAUUGACACUGCAGAGUUCAAGUUCCUGGGGCGAAGGCUGCAUGCUGAUUGCUCUGAGCAGACCCAGCGGGAAGACAUCCGUCAACUCACUGUAUCUCUCAUGCAAAAAGUAGAUGGCUCUUCAAGACCACCACAAGCUAUGGCUUUACCACCAUCUUGUAGUGCCCAAGCUUUCUUGGUCUUUCCAGGUUCUUGAACUCAAACAAGGUUUUGUACGUGAACUGCACUUUAUGUGUUUACCAUUUCUGAAGAAAUGGUCAGGCCUACCUCGAUGCGCAAACUCUGCCAUUCUUUUUAUUGGCAGUCGCAAACGCUUUGGCUUACGCCUCCACUACCUUCCUACGGUGUGGAAAAAGUGCCAGUCCAUCAAAUGGCACAUUCUUCGAUCGAGUGGGGACGCGCGCAUGAGGGCGCUGUACACUCUGCGUCGGAGUAAGGAUCAAAGCUGACAAAGCGAUAUGCGGCGACAAUAGAGCUGGAGUGUGCAGAGGCAUCAGUAGGUUCAGGGACUCUCCGUCCACCGUCAUCUUCAAGUCAUCGUGCAGGGUUGGGUGCUCGUGCUCCGAAGCAGCAUUCCAAACCCCCGAGGAAGGAUCUCCUUCAAACAUUUGAGGAGAUCAACGCGCAGGAGCAGAUUUUGAGGCUGAAGACUCUUCAGGUGCAAGGCAAGUGGUUGGAGUGGACAUCGGUGAUGUGGCAGGACCUCUCGUGGAAAUCCCUUUUGUACGGUGGUACUGGUAAGGAUUUGAAAUUUCUUCUCGCAUCAACCCUCGACGUGCUACCUUCUCCGACGAACCUACGCCGUUGGGAAAACACCGUAGUGGAUCCGUACUGUAGUUUGUGCCGUGCCUGGGCCUGUACUACGCGCCACGUGCUUGGCGCUUGUCGCGUAGCGCUGGACCAGGGACGUUACACCUGGAGGCACGACAACAUACUCGGGGUCAUCGUCAGGAACAUGCGUGAGGAGAUUCGAAUCCGCACUGCUGCAAACACCGUACAAACAGAAAAUUCAAAUGAGCUUGACUUCAUCUCGUUUUGCAAGGCGGGAGAGAAGCCAGUUCGCGUUCAGCCCAGACGGAAGUUGGUUACGACUGAUCUCCUGUCAGCGGCCUCAGACUGGAAACUUCUUGUCGACUCAGUGCAAAGAUUUCUUUCCCUAGCUGUGUUGCACUUACCACCCUUAGACCAGAUAUAGUUCUGUACUCUACGAGUCGUAGGAUUGUAUUCUGGAUGGAGUUGACAGUUUGUGCUGAGGACAGAUUCAGUGUCAGUAACUCGCGGAAGGACAGGCGGUAUGCGGAUCUGGCAGAUCAAUGCCGAGCAAACGGGUGGCAGGUCGUUUCUUUUUCGGUUGAGUAAGACGUCUCUGCGAAGCAGCUACAUCAUCUGGUUGCGACGUCAACAAAAACACUGGCCGGAAGAUCCACUUUUCUGAGGUACUGUAUGUGGGGCUCCGUUUAUUGAGGUGCGUUGAAAUUUAUUCUCUUUAUCUUAUUAUUUCUUUUCUAUAAUUUCCCCAUAUGAGUUCCUAUCAGUUGCUGUGAACACCUUGAGUGGAGAGCGCUUGCUCGAGCGUUGAACCGGGUUCUUAAUCCACCAUACCCAGUUCGCAAGGCUGGGCGGGGUUGUGAGCAGGCUUUCAUUUCAUCUUUUCUUAUUAUUUCUGCUUUUCAUCUCAUUACAAAAAUUCUGCGCAUUUUUUCUCCAUCUGCGCAUAAAAUCUAGACUGACAACCUGCUUGUUAAAUCAUGCACCUGCUUUCAGGCGUAAAAACCCUGUUGUAGAGGUCUCAGUCCUCAUUUGUUAGACUUACCUGUCUUUAUAAAUGUAACUUACU